GACGAACGCUGGCGGCGUGCCUAAUACAUGCAAGUUGAGCGCUGAAGGUUGGUACUUGUACCAACUGGAUGAGCAGCGAACGGGUGAGUAACGCGUGGGGAAUCUGCCUUUGAGCGGGGGACAACAUUUGGAAACGAAUGCUAAUACCGCAUAAAAACUUUAAACACAAGUUUUAAGUUUGAAAGAUGCAAUUGCAUCACUCAAAGAUGAUCCCGCGUUGUAUUAGCUAGUUGGUGAGGUAAAGGCUCACCAAGGCGAUGAUACAUAGCCGACCUGAGAGGGUGAUCGGCCACAUUGGGACUGAGACACGGCCCAAACUCCUACGGGAGGCAGCAGUAGGGAAUCUUCGGCAAUGGACGAAAGUCUGACCGAGCAACGCCGCGUGAGUGAAGAAGGUUUUCGGAUCGUAAAACUCUGUUGGUAGAGAAGAACGUUGGUUAGAGUGGAAAGCUCAUCAAGUGACGGUAACUACCCAGAAAGGGACGGCUAACUACGUG
rnacentral:rRNA from 1 species